rnacentral:rRNA from 1 species
CGAACGGGUGAGUAACACGUGGGUGAUCUGCCUUGCACUCUGGGAUAAGCCUGGGAAACUGGGUCUAAUACCGGAUAUGAGCCUGGACUGCAUGGUCUGGGUUGGAAAGGUUUACUGGUGCGAGAUGGGCCCGCGGCCUAUCAGCUUGUUGGUGGGGUAACGGCCUACCAAGGCGACGACGGGUAGCCGACCUGAGAGGGUGACCGGCCACACUGGGACUGAGACACGGCCCAGACUCCUACGGGAGGCAGCAGUGGGGAAUAUUGCACAAUGGGCGAAAGCCUGAUGCAGCGACGCCGCGUGAGGGAUGACGGCCUUCGGGUUGUAAACCUCUUUUGACAGGGACGAAGCGCAAGUGACGGUACCUGUAGAAGAAGCACCGGCCAACUACGUGCCAGCAGCCGCGGUAAUACGUAGGGUGCGAGCGUUGUCCGGAAUUACUGGGCGUAAAGAGCUUGUAGGCGGUCUGUCACGUCGAUUGUGAAAACUUGCAGCUCAACUGCAAGCUUGCAGUCGAUACGGGCAGACUAGAGUACUUCAGGGGAGACUGGAAUUCCUGGUGUAGCGGUGAAAUGCGCAGAUAUCAGGAGGAACACCGGUGGCGAAGGCGGGUCUCUGGGAAGUAACUGACGCUGAGAAGCGAAAGCGUGGGUAGCGAACAGGAUUAGAUACCCUGGUAGUCCACGCCGUAAACGGUGGGUACUAGGUGUGGGUUUCCUUCCACGGGAUCCGUGCCGUAGCUAACGCAUUAAGUACCCCGCCUGGGGAGUACGGCCGCAAGGCUAAAACUCAAAGGAAUUGACGGGGGCCCGCACAAGCGGCGGAGCAUGUGGAUUAAUUCGAUGCAACGCGAAGAACCUUACCUGGGUUUGACAUACACCGGAAAGCCAUAGAGAUAUGGCCCCCCUUGUGGUCGGUGUACAGGUGGUGCAUGGCUGUCGUCAGCUCGUG